UACGUAGGUGGCAAGCGUUGUCCGGAUUUACUGGGUGUAAAGGGCGUGCAGCCGGGCUUACAAGUCAGAUGUGAAAUCCGGGGGCUCAACCCCCGAACUGCAUUUGAAACUGUAGGUCUUGAGUAUCGGAGAGGCAGGCGGAAUUCCUAGUGUAGCGGUGAAAUGCGUAGAUAUUAGGAGGAACACCAGUGGCGAAGGCGGCCUGCUGGACGACAACUGACGGUGAGGCGCGAAAGCGUGGGGAGCAAGCAGG
rnacentral:rRNA from 1 species